UACGGAGGGUGCAAGCGUUAAUCGGAAUUACUGGGCGUAAAGCGCACGUAGGUGGUUUGUUAAGCCAGCUGUGAAAUCCCCGGGCUCAACCUGGGCACUGCAGUUUGGAACUGGCAAGCUAGAGUAGGGUAGAGGGGUGUGGAAUUCCAGGUGUAGCGGUGAAAGUGCGUAGAUAUCUGGAGGAACAUCAGUGGCGAAGGCGACACCCUGGACUCAUACUGACACUGAGGUGCGAAAGCGUGGGGGAGCAAACAGG
rnacentral:rRNA from 1 species